rnacentral:tRNA from 1 species
GGAUUGUGGUUCAGUGGUAGAGCGCUUGCCUCACAUGCGUGAGGCACUGGGUUCGAUUCUCAGCACCA